CAAGAUAAGACCUUCAUCCUCUACUUUUCAAUGCCUAGCUCAAGUAUUCCUGGGAAUUCCUAGAGCAUGGCCUGAGAAGCAGUGCGUCAGUGCGUGCCUGGGAUCUGAACCUGCGAAGCCCGGGCUGCUGAAGCGGAGCGCACGCACUUAACUGCUGCACCACCGGGCCGCCUCCAAGAAGUUGAUCUCUGGACACUCUGGACACCAAGAACAAGUUGAAGGAGGCACGUGCUUUUGUUCUCAGAAAGAUAAACAGGAGACGUGAAGGCCAUGUCAGGGUUUAUGAGUCCUUUCUUCCCAACUGCAUUAUUUGUUCCCUCCUAAUCCUCACAGAACAUUUUUACUUUUCCUAAUCAAUGGAGACAGCCAUGGGCCUCCUCUGUCCUCCUCACUCUUCUCAUAUUCUUCUGAAACUUCUCAUACAAGACCUGUUUCCCUCUUUCCGUGAACUUGCUUCUGGCUUCCUCUUCCCAUCAAAUAUCCAGCUACCCAAUGUUUUUAGGUAUGUUUUUAUAUCCAUCCAUUAUUAUUUACUAACCCUGCAGUAACCACCCACUCUGCAGUUUUAACAGCAUGAUCUAUGGUAUGUAAACCAACUAUCAAAGGAAUUAUACCCUAAAAUCUUUAAUUAAAAAAUUUAAGCAGAAGAUAAAA